rnacentral:piRNA from 1 species
UGGCUUCCCCACACCUACAUACACGUU